UGGGGAAUAUUGGACAAUGGGCGCAAGCCUGAUCCAGCAAUUCCGCGUGGGUGAAGAAGGUCUUCGGAUUGUAAAGCCCUUUCGACGGGGACGAUGAUGACGGUACCCGUAGAAGAAGCCCCGGCUAACUUCGUGCCAGCAGCCGCGGUAAUACGAAGGGGGCUAGCGUUGCUCGGAAUUACUGGGCGUAAAGGGCGCGUAGGCGGCGCUGUUAGUCAGGCGUGAAAUUCCUGGGCUCAACCUGGGGACUGCGCUUGAUACGGCAGUGCUUGAGGAUGGAAGAGGCUCGCGGAAUUCCCAGUGUAGAGGUGAAAUUCGUAGAUAUUGGGAAGAACACCGGUGGCGAAGGCGGCGAGCUGGUCCAUUACUGACGCUGAGGCGCGACAGCGUGGGGAGCAAACA
rnacentral:rRNA from 1 species